ensembl:lncRNA
CUUUGUUCUGGCUUGCAGGACGACUGUCCAGGGCCCUCUCCUUUCCUGGACGUAACAGAUACAAGUGGUAAGUAUUGAGAGUUUGGAUGCACAAUGGAUACCUGCUGCUACUUUUGACGAACUCCGAGGCGACCCAGCGGAUUAUACUCCCGGUCGUCCAGAUGCUGGGGGAACUGCCCAAGGGCUGCCGGGAUCCAACUAAAACCGUACUGGUAAGUGUACGGGAGGGGGUUUCCACGGUCUCUGUAUCCUGAGUGACGAGUCGACAUGCAGGUAGACGCUUCAAAGGGACCCGCUAGAUCUGCACAAGAGCAUAAAGGUAAGUGUAACAGGACUGGACACGGAUAGUGGACAGAGGGGCCGCUGGCUCUUCACUCGGGGGCACAAGUAAGUCCGUAGGAAAGACAACUGGGGUUUCACUUGAGCAUACAGGCGAGUGUACAACACAAUAUGUUGGCUUUAGCUUUGGGCAUAAGGUAAGUGUAACAGGACUGGACACGGAUAGUGGACAGAGGGGCCGCUGGCUCUUCACUCGGGGGCACAAGUAAG